rnacentral:lncRNA from 1 species
GUAAUAAAAAGGUAAGUUUCUGUAUUCAUUUACAUAGUAGACAAUAUAUUUAUUAAAUGUAUUAUCCAUGAAGAGGCAGCACUGAAGGAAAAAUAAAAUGGUUCAACAUAAAGAAUGGCAGAACUAGGGGCUAGGGAUUUAGCUCAGUGGUUCUGCUGCCUGCCUCGCAAGUGCAAGGUCCCAAGUUCGAUUCCCGGUACCAGAAAAAAAAAAAAGGCAGAACUAUAAAUGGCUGCCCAGGCAAAGCAUGACAAGAGUCUCCUUCUCAUGGCGUCGUCUCAGAUAAAAUGGAUAUAGGAUAAGAUGAACCAAAGUCUUAAUGUGAAGUUCUACUGGUUGAAAUUCUCAGAACCUGAGAAACAGCAGAUUUAUUCUAUUUCUGAGGAUAAAAUAGGGAAUGGGGAAACCUCUUGACUUUGCCCUUCAAAAAGAAUAUAUUUGAGGACUGUCUCUUUCAGCUCAAGGUUACAGAACUCCAAUAGGAUUGAAGUCAAAGCAAACAUGUAAUUUCAAGUCAUUAUUGAUUUUAGGUGAGAGCUAAGUCUUUCCACUAGACCUGAAAACCAUGAAACUGGCAGAAAAGAAAAAUCUCACAAUUCAGUGGUCUCCUGAUUUGUUUGUCGGGCUGGAAAGUAUAGGAGCAAGAGAAUGCAAAGGCCAACUACCAACCCCUUGGAUCAUCAGAUUAGGCAUAGAGACAGUGGAAAGAGGCCUUGGAGCUAGGAUUCCUCUGGCCAGAGUGUCUUCCAGCCCAACCCUGCCGGUAUUAGAGGAUGUGGUGCCUUGCAUCGGCUGCAGCACUAUGUGAUGAAGAUAGUGGCCUUGUGUGGUGAGGAUACUGGCCUUGUGACCACUGCAGAGGGCCAGACAAGGUGGGUCUGAAAGCUCAGCCACAUGGGCCAUGGAACUGGACAGAUCCAGGUCCUGGGGCAAUUGCUGUGUUCAAGUUGGAGGAGGCCUCAGCUCCUUGCUAGGAGGAUAAAAGGCCUCACCUGCCCUGGAAAGUGAUGGAGCCCAGGCCAAGGACAGUGGAAUGGCUAGCGAACCAUGGGCCAUUGCCAAAGAGAGAAACAUAAAGUAACAUUCCAUGUUUGACUAAUUGGAAAUGCCCACCAGCAUUUGGGAAGAUUUACUGGACAUUUUUAGAAGGCUUGUAUAUAAUAUGAAAAAGCAGCUCUCAACAUUUGUCCCAACUUUUAAAAGAAAACUUGCUGGUUCUGGAAAAUAUAGAUAUAAAGAGGUUGCUGGCAUGUGACAGAGUUAGAAAAUCACAUGUCUUGGAAAUGCCUUUUUGUUUAAAAAAAUGACAGAAAAGAAACAUCCUACGGAAGUGACUUUUUUUUUGUAUAUCCUUUUAUUGGUAUAUUUUAGGUGUACAAUUUAAUGACAUUCAUCAUUGGAAACAUGCACCUUUACAUACUCUCUUGGUUCUUAUUUUUUCCCCCUUCCCCUGCCCUCCCUUCAACCCCUCAAUCCCUCCCUAUUUACA